UGAAGUGAUUGUAGAAUGCAAUCACGUUAAUCUAAAGAAAGUUCGAUCGGU
ncrna:unclassified sequences 6A RNA